GACGAACGCUGGCGGCGUGCUUAACACAUGCAAGUCGAACGGAAAGGCCCUGCUUGCCGGGUACUCGAGUGGCGAACGGGUGAGUAACACGUGGGUGAUCUGCCCUGCACUUCGGGAUAAGCCUGGGAAACUGGGUCUAAUACCGGAUAGGAGCCAUUUUUAGUGUGAUGGUUGGAAAGUUUUUUCGGUGUAGGAUGAGCUCGUGGCCUAUCAGCUUGUUGGUGGGGUAAUGGCCUACCAAGGCGGCGACGGGUAGCCGGCCUGAGAGGGUGGACGGCCACAUUGGGACUGGGAUACGGCCCAGACUCCUACGGGAGGAAGCAGUGGGGAAUAUUGCCAAAUGGGCGCAAGCCUGAUGCAGCGACCCCGGGUGGGGAUGACGGCCUUCGGGUUGUAAACUCCUUUCGCUAGGGACGAAGCUUUUUGUGACGGUACCUAGAUAAGAAGCACCGGCUAACUACGUG
rnacentral:rRNA from 1 species